rnacentral:rRNA from 1 species
GGCCAGCCGCCGCGGUAAUACGUAGGGUGCAAGCGUUGUCCGGAUUUAUUGGGUUUAAAGGGUGCGUAGGCGGUCUAUUAAGUCAGUGGUUAAAGCCUGUGGCUCAACCAUAGCACGCCAUUGAUACUGGUAGACUUGAGUGCGUUAGAGGAAACUGGAAUGUGUAGUGUAGCGGUGAAAUGCAUAGAUAUUACACAGAACACCGAUUGCGAAGGCAGGUUUCUAUAACGUAACUGACGCUGAGGCACGAAAGCGUGGGGAGCAAACAGGAUUAGAUA